rnacentral:rRNA from 1 species
CCUACGGGGGGCAGCAGUGAGGAAUAUUGGGCAAUGGAGGAAACUCUGACCCAGCAACGCCGCGUGAAGGAUGAAGGUUCUCGGAUUGUAAACUUCUGUUCUGUGGAAAGAAAAAAAUGACGGUACCACAGAAGAAAGCUCCGGCAAACUACGUGCCAGCAGCCGCGGUAAUACGUAGGGAGCGAGCGUUGUCCGGAAUAACUGGGCGUAAAGGGAGUGUAGGUUGCAAUUUAAGUUAAAUGUGAAAGCCCGGGGCUCAACUCCGGAAGGUCAUUUAAUACUGGGUUGCUAGAGUGCAGGAGAGGUAAGCGGAAUUCCUAGUGUAGCGGUUAAAUGCGUAGAUAUUAGGAAGAACACCAGAGGCGAAGGCGGCUUACUGGCCUGUAACUGACACUGAAACUCGAAAGCGUGGGGAUCAAACAGGAUUAGAUACCCCAGUAGUC